GGGCCCGCACAAGCGGUGGAGCAUGUGGUUUAAUUCGACGCAACGCGAAGAACCUUACCUACACUUGACAUCCUCGGAACUUUCUAGAGAUAGAUUGGUGCCUUCGGGAACCGAGUGACAGGUGCUGCAUGGCUGUCGUCAGCUCGUGUCGUGAGAUGUUGGGUUAAGUCCCGUAACGAGCGCAACCCUUAUCCUUAAUUGCCAGCGGUUAGGCCGGGAACUCUAAGGAGACUGCCGAUGACAAAUCGGAGGAAGGUGGGGACGACGUCAAGUCAUCAUGGCCCUUACGUGUAGGGCUACACACGUGCUACAAUGGCCGGUACAAACGGUUGCGAACCCGCGAGGGGAAGCUAAUCCGAGAAAGCCGGUCGUAGUCCGGAUUGGGGUCUGCAACUCGACCCCAUGAAGUCGGAAUCGCUAG
rnacentral:rRNA from 1 species